rnacentral:rRNA from 1 species
AACGAACGCUGGCGGCGUGGAUAAGACAUGCAAGUCGAGCGCUGAUUUGAGAGUAGCAAUAUUUUCAAGUCGGAGCGGCGCAAGGGUGCGUAACACGUGGGAAUCUGCCUUGAAGUGUGGGAUAACUCCGAGAAAUCGGAGCUAAUACCGCAUGUGAUCGAAAGAUUAAAGUUGGGGAUCGUAAGACCUGACGCUUCAAGAUGAGCCCGCGGCCUAUCAGCUAGUUGGUGAGGUAAUGGCUCACCAAGGCUAAGACGGGUAGCUGGUCUGAGAGGACGACCAGUCACACUGGAACUGAGACACGGUCCAGACACCUACGGGUGGCAGCAGUCGAGAAUUUUUCUCAAUGGGCGAAAGCCUGAAGGAGCGACGCCGCGUGGGGGAUGAAUGGCUUCGGCCCGUAAACCCCUGUCAUUUGCGAACAAAUUGUUUCACCUAACACGUGUAGCAUUGAUUGUAGCGGAAGAGGAAGGGACGGCUAACUCUGUGCCAGCAGCCGCCGUAACAC